GACGAACGCUGGCGGCGUGCCUAAUACAUGCAAGUAGAACGCUGAAGGAGGAGCUUGCUUCUCUGGAUGAGUUGCGAACGGGUGAGUAACGCGUAGGUAACCUGCCUGGUAGCGGGGGAUAACUAUUGGAAACGAUAGCUAAUACCGCAUAACAGUAGAUAUCGCAUGAUAUCUACUUGAAAGGUGCAAUUGCAUCACUACCAGAUGGACCUGCGUUGUAUUAGCUAGUUGGUGAGGUAACGGCUCACCAAGGCGACGAUACAUAGCCGACCUGAGAGGGUGAUCGGCCACACUGGGACUGAGACACGGCCCAGACUCCUACGGGAGGCAGCAGUAGGGAAUCUUCGGCAAGGGACGGAAGUCUGACCGAGCAACGCCGCGGGAGUGAAGAAGGGUUUCGGAUCGUAAAGCUCUGUUGUAAGAGAAGAACGAGUGUGAGAGUGGAAAGUUCACACUGUGACGGUAUCUUACCAGAAAGGGACGGCUAACUACGUG
rnacentral:rRNA from 1 species